rnacentral:rRNA from 1 species
CAGUAGCCGCGGUAAUACGUAGGGUGCAAGCGUUAAUCGGAAUUACUGGGCGUAAAGCGUGCGCAGGCGGUUUGUUAAGACAGAUGUGAAAUCCCCGGGCUCAACCUGGGAACUGCAUUUGUGACUGGCAAGCUAGAGUAUGGCAGAGGGGGGUGGAAUUCCGCGUGUAGCAGUGAAAUGCGUAGAUAUGCGGAGGAACACCGAUGGCAAAGGCAGCCCCCUGGGCCAAUACUGACGCUCAUGCACGAAAGCGUGGGGAGCAAACAGGAUUAGAUACCCGAGUAGUCCCUGUCUCUUAUAC